rnacentral:tRNA from 1 species
GCCCUCGUAGUUCAACGGAUAGAAUGCGUGGCUUCGAACCAUGAGAUGGGGGUUCGAUUCCCUCCGAGGGCA